rnacentral:rRNA from 1 species
UACGAAGGGGGCUAGCGUUGCUCGGAUUGACUGGGCGUAAAGGGCGCGUAGGCGGUUCGUACAGUCAGACGUGAAAUUCCUGGGCUCAACCUGGGGGCUGCAUUUGAUACGUGAUGGCUGGAGUGGGGAAGAGGGUCGUGGAAUUCCCAGUGUAGAGGUGAAAUUCGUAGAUAUUGGGAAGAACACCGGUGGCGAAGGCGGCGACCUGGUCCUUGACUGACGGCUGAGGCGACGAAAGCGUGGGGAGCAAACAGG